rnacentral:tRNA from 1 species
GCGAGGGUAGCAAAGCCUGGCCAAAUGCGCGGGACUUAAGAUCCCGUCGGUUAGUCCGUUCGCCGGUCCGAAUCCGGCCCCUCGCA